AUGUACUUAUGUGACUGCAACAGCUGUUUAGAAGAGGACCAUGUUUUACAGACCCACCAAGACGGCCAGGCUGGCAAUAUAAGUAAAAGAAGCAGAGACUGGUGGAGAUGACAGCAAAUUGAAGAGUGUAUGCUGCAUCUGAAAGGGACCUCCCUAGUCAGCUUCCUGGAGACUCCAUCAGACAUAAAUUUAUCAAGAGUUUAAGAAGCCUACCUUCAAAGGUAGGUCCAGAGGUUAUGUCAAUAUUUCUACUGAAUGGGCAAGAUUAGAGGGAGGCUCUACAGCAUAAAGAAGAAAAGCAAUGAACACAGAAAGUCUGGCUCUCUGCAGGAUUGGUGAGGAAUCAGGGUCUGGGGCAGGGAUGGGAAGAGGAGUGGGUGUUGGGUGGAGGAAGGGAGAGUGCUAGGGAAGAGUUGGAUACAGUUUUUGGAAGGCAAAUGGAGAGCUUUGCUUUGACAAAGACAUGAUAUUUUGGAACACCUGCCAAGCUAGGAUGAUAAUUCUCAAGUCUGAGAGUCCCCUUUCUCAAUCAGAAA